ACCAUAAUAGCACUGCAGUGAGUUUACUUCUCGAAAGUACUGUGCCUUGCUCAUGAAAAGAAGAUGAACAGCAUAGCUUUAUAAGACAAAGGGAGGGAAGGAAAGAAGUCUCCUGACAAAGUCACUUCUCAGAGGGGCUUAGCACUAUCUGAUGAAGCCCAACCUGCUUUAAAUGACAAAAGUUGGGAGCUAUCAGCCAGAAACACACUCCUCACGCUGCCAGCCGCAUUCAAACCUCUUUCCCCUUUCUCACUGCACAGCCUUUGUCCUCUUGCCAGAAGCCUGCCUGCAGGCAAUAUCCAGCUUUCUAAUAAAGCAGCUCCUUUGUCAAUGACAGUAAUGAUUAUCUCCUACAGCUGCCCGUGGUGUUGCAUUUUGUAACACAAUUUGGCCGCCUUUGGCCCCGGUUAGUUCUAUUUAACGUACUGCAGGGGGUUCACUGUUUGAUCUCUAAUUGAUAUAAUUGACUGGGAAUAAUCAGGGCAGCUUUAUAGAUUUUUAUUGAUAGCUAAUUUUCCUUCAUCCAUUGUUUAAUUUGAUAAGACUAUAACCUAAUUUAUUGCCACUCUGAUAGGGAUCCAUUACCCUUUUGACAAAUGCUUCUGGGGCCCACUUGUCAGCAACUGAUUUGAAAGAGCUGUUAAGCCUACAGAGCCCAUCAUUAGUUAAUGGCAGUUUAGAAAGCUAAUGGCAUUAUAAAUUAAGAUCAAUAAGUACAUGGAAAUUACAGUUGUUCAGCAAGACACCACUAUAUUAUUAAACAAACAUAAUCCUGUACCUUUGGUUAAUGCACACACAGGGAGCUUCCGAGUGAGUUUCAGAGCCAAAUAGAGCCAGGUGAUUAACAAAGGAAGAGUCCUUCUCUAGCGCUGGAUUUGCCAGACUAAUUCCUAAAGGAUCUUUGCAAGAAAAGAAAGCAGGCAGUGCUGCUUCAUUUUGCUGUAUAAGCAACCUGAGGCCUCAAAACACCCUCACACAAAACAAUACCCAUCUCGCUUCCUCAGGUUUUGAUCUGCUCCAACAACGCUUUCAAAUGCAUAACACAGAGUCGGCGCAGGAGAGGCUCCUGGAUUUAUCCAAGGGAUAAAGAAAAGCAAACACAGUAUCUCUCGAUAACUUCACAUAGAUUCGUCUUAAUUCCUCACAAGGCUUGAUUGGCAUUGAGUGAUGUUUGAUCACUUUAUGAUGUGUACGUCGGGAUUCUUCCUGGGGAGGCACUCUGAUCUCAGGAAUGAAGCAAAGAAGAGGAUGUCAGAAAACCUGGAGUCAGAUUUACCUUCACCACUGAUUAGGGAUAGGGCAUUGAACUAGUGACUUCUCCUACACCUUUUUGCAAGCUCCCUCUAUGUCAUUUACCAAGAGUGGGAGUUAGAUGUUGGGGAGCAAGGCUAUCCUGAUCUGGAUUUGGCACAGAUAAGCUUCAGCCUCAACCACGUCUCUAGACCUUAAUAUAAUAAUAAUAUAACAUGAAUAAUAAUAUAACAUAAAUAAGUAGAUUUGGAAGCAAUUGGGGACAGAAGAGGUGGGAUAGGUGGGAGAAGAGGGAGAAGCAUAGCAAGACCAGCAAUAACCUAAGAUCUGGAUGGGCAGAUCAGAAGGUACAUUACUUCCCACUGACAACCUCAGUGACUAUGCCAAGUACAUUGUUCACUUAUGUUCAGUACUGAAUGCUCUGAUGGAAUUGUGCUGCAGACUAGAAACACAUAGCUGAUGUUGUCACAUACUUAAACAUUUCUCCUGCCAUUGAGAACCAUAGAUGUCCUGAACUGAUGCAUCUCCAGUGAAUCAGAGAUUUAAACACACCCAGGAUCCAGCCACUGCUCCUGACCUGGCACUGCAUGAAUUAGCACACUGAUUUGUUCCAGAUGGACUUCCCAAGCACCAGCAGUACCUCGGCUUUCUGAGGAGCUUCUGAUUUGCAGCACGUGUUUGCUCCAGCACUCUCCAUAUGAACGAGUCUAAGGGUCUGGACAUCUGGUGCUCCAAGCAAGCCCACCUCUCUGCUCGGCAACAUUUCCUCGCCUUCCCCAUUUCAACAGCGCCUGACCCCAUUUCAGUCAAUUUUCCAUAUCCUGCCUGUCUUGCAUCCGCCGAGGGAACACACUGAUGCUGUGUUUAUGCUAAUUUUAUGCUCUCUGAGUUGUGUCUGUUAUUCAAAGCAGUUGAAGCAGUUAUUGCCAGUAAUCUUAUUUCUGCGAGAGCCCCCGGGGCAGAGCAAGCCUCGGAGCCGGUCCUGCAGACCGCGUCAGAGCCAUCACAGCCUGCUGGUAAAUGGCAGCUCUUUCCUGCAGAAUCUGAUAUCAGUUACUUCGCAAACACAGUAAUAAAAUGAAACAAAUCAGAUUUUCAAGUAAAUAAACCAGACUUCAAUGGCAACAACAAUGGUCAGGACAACAGGAUUUUAAUAAGCGAUGCCAUACAGGGGGAAAUAUCGGAGUGAUGCAUCCCUUCUUCUUCUUGCUCUCCCUCUGCUCUGCCCCAAAAUGAGCUGUCUGAGAGCUGAAAGAAAAAGAAAACAAAACAAAAGCCACAUACAGAAUGGAGUCUGCUGUCCUGGUUGGUGAAAAAGGGCACUCAGUGAUGGUACGUGUGGAAAUCCCCCUGCAAAAGUGUUCCUAAAGAACCAGGAUGCUGAGCUAUUGCACUGAACAACAGAAUACGAGGAAAAUAAUAAAUUCUUAUUGCUGCUUUUCUAACUCAUAACAUCCAUGGGAAAUCACACAAGAACGUCCUCAUUAAGGAACAGGGUGAAGAUACCAACCAAGAGAACAGUGUUGACCUUCUGCUCAAAAAAGCUGAGUGUGAUUCACCCAUGGUUUUGCCACUAUUUUCUGAGGCACCUGGAGCAUAUAACAUAAAGGUAGGACUGGGAGUGCCCAUCAGCUUUUCAGUAAGACUCUAAGACAAACAAAGUCGUCUGCCUCCUCCAUGCCUACCUAACAGCUAAUAUUCAGAUGAUAUAAAAGGUGUUUUAUUCUACAACAACACUUAGAGAAAAACUUGAAAUUCUGCAUUUUCAGAUAGUCUUGCCUUGAAAAGUAUUUAAAAUUCUGUCAGAAAGCCAGCAGUUGGAAAAAAAAGCCAUUGAGUCCCGGCCAAUUUUUUUUGUUGCCAAAAAUGCAAACUAUUUUUCUCAUAAGAAACAUUUCCUAUAGAAAAACUCCAAUUUAAGAAACAUUUUUCAACAAGAAGACAUUUUGAAUGGAACAUUUUCAUGUUUUUCUACUGCCAUCAACAGCACUCAGCUUUUAUUGUGAUGCUUAAGGCCAUGUUUUCAGCAUACUGUGCUCUUUAGAAACUUGCCCAGCUAUGCUGAGUCCUCUAUAGCAGCAGGAGCUCCCAUAUAUAAAUUUAUACAUGCAUAUGUACAUAUCUGUACAAAUAAAUAAAAUAUAAACUCUU
rnacentral:lncRNA from 7 species